UAGCAUGAUUCACGCAUCAUGAAUGCCAUGAGAUAUAUUAGGGUGCUUGCAUUAGAAUUCACGAAUAUGUUGCAUUGCAUAUUAUGUUGUUGAUGUGGAUGAAUGUUGGAUGAUCCUUUAGCCCACACUAUGAUAUGAUAUGAUAUGAGAUAGUGAUGAUACGGUAUGAAAGACCAGUGAGGCCCAUUCUACGCCCCUGGCACUAUGUAAGAGAAAGACCAGUGAGGCCCAUUCUACGCCCCUGG
rnacentral:lncRNA from 1 species